AGGCCUGUGGCUCAAUUGGUAUGAGCGUUGCCUUGAUAAGGCAAAGGUUGUUGGUUCGAGACCAAUCAGGCCUA
rnacentral:tRNA from 1 species